rnacentral:tRNA from 1 species
GGAGAGGUGACAGAGUGGUUGAUUGUGACGGUCUCGAAAACCGUUGUGGCGGCAACGUCACCGGGAGUUCGAAUCUCCCCCUCUCCG